CUAUUGUUCGGGUUUUAAGGCACCAUGAGGGGUGACAGAGGCUGUGGUGUGGUGGGCGCUUUAGUUCCAGAGGAGGCCCAGGAAGAGGGUUCAGGCCCUUUGUACUACAUAUCCCAUUUGACUUCUAUUUGUGUGAAAUGGCCUUCCCCUGGGUCAAGCCAGCACCUGAUGAAACUUCAGUUAGGCCUUGCUGAAGAGGAAUCAGGACCUGGUUCCCAAUUCUAUCCUUUCCCUGGUGACGAAAAUAAACAAUGCGAUUGACAAUCUGAUUGUGGCUCCAGGGACAUUUGAAGUGCAAAUUGAAGUUCGACAGGUGGGAUCCUAUAAAAAGGGGACGAUGACUACAGGACACAAUGUGACUGACCUGGUGGUGAUACUCAAGAUUCUGCCAACAUUGGAAGCUAUUGCUGCCCUGGGGAACAAUGUCGUGGAAAGCCUAAGAGCACAGGAUUCUUCUGAAGUUUUAACCAUGCUGACCAAUGAAACUGGCUUUGAAAUCAGUUCUUAUGAUGCUAGAGUGAAGAUUCUCAUUACAACAGUGCCACCCAAUCUUCGAAAACUGGACCCAGAACUCCAUUUGGAUAUCAAGAUAUUGCAGAGUGCCUUAGCAGUCAUCCCACAUGCCCACUGGUUUGAGGAAAAUGCUUCUCAGUCCACAGUUAAAGUUCUCAUCAGACUACUGAAAGACUUGAGGAUUCGUUUUCCUGGCUUUGAGCCCCUCACACCCUGGAUCCUUGACCUACUAGGUCAUUAUGCUGUGUUGAACAACCCCACCAGAUAGCCUUUGGCCCUAAACGUUGCAUAUAGACGCUGCUUACAGAUUCCGGCUGCAGAACUGUUCCUGCCAGGUUCAGUGGGUAUCACUGACCCCUGUGAGAGUGGCAACUUCAGAGUACACACAGUCAUGACCCUAGAACAGCAGGACAUGGUCUGCUAUAUAGCUCAGACACUCGUCCAAAUCCUCUCACAUGGUGGCUUUAGGAAGAUCCUUGGCCAGGAGGGUGAUGCCAGCUAUCUUGCUUCUGAAAUAUCUCCCUGGGAUGGAGUGAUAGUAACACCUUCAGAAAAGGCUUAUGAGAAGCCACCAGAGAAGAAGGAAGGAGAGGAAGAGGAGGAGAAUACAGAAGAACCACCUCAAGGAGAGGAAGAAGAAAGCAUGGAAACUCAGGAAUGACCUUCCCUUCCCUUGACUUGGAGCCAGACCUUCCCUUGACUGGAGCCUAAGUUCACUGCUACUGGGCUUUACAUGGUGAUAGACAUUUCCAAGGGAUAGGGAAGACAGCAGGAAGGAAAGUAAACUCCAUAGAAGUGUCAUUCCGCUGGGUUUUGAUAUUGGCUUAGCAGCCAGUUUCCCAUCUGUGACCUAUGCCAUCCAUCUAUAAUGAAUGGGGAUAUCAACAUUUCUUCCUAAUAUUCUAGAAUCCCCAACUCCUGAAAACCCCUCUCUCAACUAAUAUUUUGCUGUUGAAAUGUUAAGUGUCUGGAAAUUUUUUUUCUAAGAAAAACUAUUAAAGUACUUCCUAGUGGGGAAAAAAAAA